GGCGGGGCAGGGCCGGGGCGGGACCUGUGCGCCUCUCAGCCUUGUUCCCAGCACCUCUGUUUCCGGGUUUUGGAGGCGAGACGGGCCGGGAAGGCUGAGGCAUGAUUCAAAAGCCCUGGAAUUGUCUGGAACGGGGAUACAAACUACAAUGUAAAAUGCAAGGCCCGGCCUGGGCGGAAGGUAACUGAAGCAGAGAGAGAGAAGGCAGCAUACAUCAGUGUUUCUUCUAUGCAUUUAUGAGAAAGACCAAAGACUUUAAGACUUUCACUAUUUUUUCUACUGCUGUCCACUACAGACUUCAAAGAGGAACCAGCAGUAUGGGAGGAACAUAAAACUGGAUGAGAAGCGUGACCAUUGAAACACAGCACCACAGGGAGGGAUUUAGGCCUCCGGGUGACUGCGGGCAGGCCUGGAUAAUAUCCAGCCUUCCACAAGAAGCUGGUGGAGCAGACUGUUCCCUGACUCCUCCAAGGAAAGGAGACUCCCUUUUGCGGUCUGCUAAGUAAUGGGUGUCUUCCCAGACACUGCCAUUACUGCUUGACCAAGGAGCCCUCAAGCGGCCUUAUGCGGGUCUGACAAAAGGUUCACCUCUUGCCUUCUAGGUCACUUCUCACAAUGUCCCUUCAUUACCUCACCCUACACCUGCUGGUUAUUCCUAGGUUGUAUUGGUAAUGCAACAAAGAGUAAUAUUAAAAGCUAAUGAUUAAUAAUGUUUACAAUAA